rnacentral:rRNA from 1 species
CAAUAGCGUAUACUAAUGUUGUUGCAGUUAAAAAGCUCGUAGUUGAACUUCUGGUAGGAGUGUCCCGGCCUUUUUGUUUUUACAAAUUGUAUGCUGUGUGACAUCUCUGGCCAUCCUUCUUCUUUGUUUAAAGAAGAUCUUUCACUGUAAAAAAAUUAGGGUGUUCAAGGCAAAAGUUUCUUUGGAAUAUAUUAGUAUGGGAUGAUAAGAUAGGCUCUAGAUGCUAUUUUGUUGGUUUGCACAUUUAGAGAAUGAUUAACAGGGACAGUUGGGGGUAUUCGUAUUUACAUGUCAGAGGUGAAAUUCUUGGAUUUUGGAAAGACGAACUACUGCGAAAGCAUUUACCAAGGAUGUUUUCAUUAA